UUCCGGUUGAUCCUGCCGGAGGUCACUGCUAUCGGGGUUCGAUUAAGCCAUGCGAGUCGAGAGGGUUCAGACCCUCGGCGGACUGCUCAGUAACACGUGGAUAAUCUGCCCUAUGGUGGAGGAUAACCCCGGGAAACUGGGGAUAAUACUCCAUAAGUCAGGAGUACUGGAAUGUCUCCUAACUGAAAGUUGCGGCGCCAUAGGAUGAAUCUGCGGCCGAUUAGGUAGUUGUUGGGGUAACGGCCCAACAAGCCCGUAAUCGGUACGGGUUGUGGGAGCAAGAGCCCGGAGAUGGAAUCUGAGACACGAUUCCAGGCCCUACGGGGCGCAGCAGGCGCGAAAACUUUACAAUGCAGGAAACUGUGAUAAGGGAAACCCCGAGUGCCCGUACACGCGGGCUGUCCCGGUGUUUAAAACACAUCGGAAGAAAGGGCCGGGCAAGACCGGUGCCAGCCGCCGCGGUAAUACCGGCGGCUCGAGUGGUGACCACUUUUAUUGGGCUUAAAGCGUUCGUAGCUUGAUUUUUAAGUCUCUUGGGAAAUCUCACGGCUUAACUGUGAGGCGUCUAAGAGAUACUGGGAAUCUAGGGACCGGGAGAGGUAAGAGGUACUUCAGGGGUAGAAGUGAAAUUCUGUAAUCCCUUGAGGGACCACCGAUGGCGAAGGCAUCUUACCAGAACGGCUUCGACAGUGAGGAACGAAAGCUGGGGGAGCGAACGGGAUUAGAUACCCCGGUAGUCCCACCCGUAAACUAUGCGCGUUAGGUGUGCCUGUAACUACGAGUUACCGGGGUGCCGAAGUGAAAACGUGAAACGUGCCGCCUGGGAAGUACGGUCGCAAGGCUGAAACUUAAAGGAAUUGGGCGGGGGAGCACCACCACGGGUGGAGCCUGCGGUUUAAUUGGAUUCAACGCCGGG
rnacentral:rRNA from 1 species